UACGUAGGGUGCAAGCGUUGUCCGGAAUUAUUGGGCGUAAAGAGCUCGUAGGCGGUUUGUCGCGUCUGCUGUGAAAAUCCAGGGCUUAACCCUGGGCCUGCUUCCGAUACGGGCAGACUAGAGGUAUGCAGGGGAGAACGGAAUUCCUGGUGUAGCGGUGAAAUGCGCAGAUAUCAGGAGGAACACCGGUGGCGAAGGCGGUUCUCUGGGCAUUACCUGACGCUGAGGAGCGAAAGUGUGGGGAGCGAACAGG
rnacentral:rRNA from 1 species